UACGAGGGGGGCGAGCGUUGUUCGGAAUUAUUGGGCGUAAAGGGCGCGUAGGCGGUCGGAUAAGUCUUGUGUGAAAUCUUCGGGCUCAACUCGAAGUCUGCACAGGAAACUAUCUGGCUUGAGUGUGGGAGAGGUGAGUGGAAUUCCUGGUGUAGCGGUGAAAUGCGUAGAUAUCAGGAGGAACACCUGUGGCGAAGGCGGGUCUCUGGGCAGUAACUGACGCUGAGGAGCGAAAGCGUGGGGAGCGAACAGG
rnacentral:rRNA from 1 species